UGACCCACGACAACAUCGUUCUGACGGAGACGGCUCAAAGAUACGAGUCUGAGAAGGUUCAAAGUGAGGUGGAAAUCGCCGAUGUGAAGGAUAUGCUGAAUGCAAAGAGGACGGAGGAAGAACGAGAGACGCGGCGGCGGGAUCGGCUGGAAAGUGAACUCAUAG
rnacentral:snRNA from 15 species